GUCAAGCUUGAAGGAUGUAAAUAUGGACUCUCCUGGACUCUCCUGGACAUCUUGCAAACUGCCUCAAAUACCAUCAAACAAGGGAUGAUCCUUUUCUAUCCAGGAAACUGUCCUUUGGGGAAAAGAGAGAAAAAAACAAUAAAAGUAACCAAGAAAUUCACUGAAUCUCUUAGUGUGGCAAUGAUCAACAUCCAUGGUUACCUAUUUUUAUAAAGGUGGAAGCUUUCCUUUAUUAACCAUAAAUGAAGUAUGAAAUGUUGCACAGAGUUGAAUGUGGAACCAGAAAAGUUGUGCCAAUUGAAUCAUUAUGAUAACUGAUAUGAGGAGCCAUCUUCAAUGACCAAAAACUGAGAUUGGAGAGCAGAUGAUGAACAUCCUCUUCUCAAAAGAGAGGAGAACAGAGUGGUGGCCUCUGGCCACUGCUCUUCUACUUCCCUUCUUGGUGAGGAGAGAGAAGACAAAGCUAGAGAUGACAAUGGCACCCUCAAGCAAUAUAUGUGGGGACUGCUUUUGCUAUAUUAUUAUUAUUACCAGCAGCAGCAGCAACAACAACAAUAACAGCAAGAAACAGAUGACCAGGGAGCAGAACAAGUAUCUUUAGCAUAUGAUGUGAAGAAGAAGAUGAAGAAAUUGAUACCCAGAGAGAAAUGUCUUACCUAGGAUCAUGGACAACAAAAGGACUGGGAUAUGAGUGUAGGUCCUUUGACUCCAAAUCCAGUGCUCUUUCCAUCAAGAUGCAGAUCACUUUUAGGGAUGUACUGAAGCCAACUUUAACCUUUGGGAGAGUUGAAAUUGUUAGAUUAUCUCAGAAAUUAGUUAAAAUAAUUAAUUACAUACUUUUAUUAUUGUUGGUUUAAACUAAUUAAAUGAAAUACAUCAUUAAAAUAAAGUACUUCAGAAAUCAGCA
rnacentral:lncRNA from 1 species